AGAAGGGGGGUCGUCGUGUUUGGUGUCCUGGUGGCAGGAUGUCAGGGACACGGGGAGGGGGCGCCGCGCCCCGGUUAGGGCAACCCCCCUACCCGGAGGUUUGAUCCCGCCCCUUCCGCACACCCGCUGGUCCCCAGGCUUGGACAGUCCGCUCCUAGGCCUUGGUCCCCGUCUGUGAAGGGAGUAUAAUCCACAGGGAAGUGGGCUUAUGACGGGCAGGGGAGAUCCUAUAGGCUUAGCACGCCUUCAGUAGUGCCCCUCUAUGACGGUCACCCCGCCUCCAACAGCUCUGUCCCCUCGGCCUUCCCCAGUCGAGGAGCCCCCUCCGCCCCCCAAACAGCAGCUCUGAGAAGUGGGUGUGACGCUGGGCUUUUCUCCGGGCCUCGGAAAGCUGCCUUGGGGUAGCUGCUGGUGACUGGGCCACCCAGAGCGCCCGCUGCGGGCAUCUCAGAGGGCAUAGGGGCGCCCAGCUCUUCCCUGGGUGCAGGAACAGCCCAGAAACCCAGUGGCCUGGACGGGGAAGGAGCAAGGAGUACCCAGGCCCCUGGCAGGGAGGAUCUUGAUGGGGAGCAGAGAGCACCAGGCUUUCAAGGAAGGUGCCAUCCCGUCCCCGACGAUCCUGCCAGCCUCUGGGUCCCAAGGCUCACUGCCUUUGAGGCUUGUGGAUCUGGACUCAGAGGGUCAUGGAAAUCUGAGACACUAGUGUGCCCAGGACCUGGGGCACCUCCAAAGACAAAGCACUUUCUUUUUGUUUGUAGUUUCUGUAGCUCAUUCACCACGUUUCUAAGUCAGAAGGGAACGCCCUCUGAUCCUCCAGGCUGGAUGGCACGGUUGGCGCUGACUGCAGCCUGAGUAUGCACGUGGCACACUCUUGGGUGCCCAUUGCACUGUGGCUGUGUCCACGGGGUGGGUGCCGUGUGCCCCUCCCUGCUGCCCUCUUGGCUGCAGCGUCUCUGGGAGAAGGACGCCCCCUCUGCUCAGGGCAGUGCACUGGGGGCAGGCCCCUCCCCGAGGUCACCUGAGGAUACAGAGGCUGCUGGACCAGGGUCAGAACCUCAACACUCACAGCCGUCCUUUAAAGCCCAGGCAGCUGAAUCAACUCUUCCAGGAAUAAAGUCAGGAAUCUUACAGUUCAGAAAAUGAAAGAUUUGUCUAAGCUUUUCUUACUUUCUACCCUAAGAACAUCUUUCCCUGGGCCAGGCCCUCCGUACAAACAGGGCCCUCCCAAGAUUGGGAGCACCGACCCCACCGGGAUUUCUUGCAGAUCAGGCCCUUCUCAUCUGACCCAACCUCGAUGUAGGAGGAAAACCCAGGGGGACUGCUGGUCACCCCACACCAAGCGCGCAACGCAACAGGCAUGUUACCCUGCAGAGCAGCAGCCUCAGAGCCCGUGGGCCCGCUGCCCAGACGCGCCCGUCUCCCGGGAGCAUCCUGCCUCCCUUCGGCUGCCCCAUCCCAUGGGGCGCAGCUUUGGAGUCUUGCCUAGGAUUGUACAGAAGGGCCUUUCCUUCUUUGGUCUGGGUUUGUCCUGCCUGGAUGGGGAAGCUGCUGGAAGACUUCCCAAAUGAGGACAGUUAACGUGUGCUGGGAAGUGGCCUUAGGGCAGGUCUGGGGAAAGGCCAGCACACCUGGAUUCUCCUGCAGGCUCUUAGAGAACCUCGUAAAUGGGGGGCUGUGUGCCGAGUCCUGCCCUCGGGAUAGCUGCUGAGAGCGGGAGCCGGUGCUGCUUCACAGGGAGCUGAGGCAGCAGGAUGGCCCCAGGCCACGCAGUGACCCAGCACAGGAUGUGUGAGUCAGAUCGCGGCGCUGCACACCUUAUCCCAACCCCGAGCUGUGUGCCAGUUACGACCCGACAAGACGGCAUGACUGAUGUCAACACUGACCGCACCAGUGCCCUUCGGGCCCUUUCCAGUGGCUUCCCCACUGGUCUCCCCAGGGCCUGAAGGUUGUGGGACUAUAUUCACCCCCUCUUUGGCAUGUAAGUGACCACGGGCAGUAAUCAACUCAGUGACCAUGUGACUGCGAUCCAGGCCCUGGUUUUCCUCAUGUGUGAGGUGAAGACUGGGACCAGCUCUGAGCCAUCGAAGGUUCCCACCCGGUGGUCCUGCCAGCGUAGAGGGAUGUGCCCACCCUGGGCGCCCGGAACAUGGGUGGGAUUGGCCACCCAGGGCCCUGAGGGCUUUGGUUUUAUGGUAAAAAAUUGUUUAAAAUUUGCUUUCUCCUUCACAAAUACCUGUGUUUGUUUAAUUAAGAGAUAUUGUUGAGAAUGAUUUACGAUAAGAGAAAUCAUCUCUUGGAAAGUGUGUCCUGUGGGCCUCUGAGGACCCUGGGCUGUGACGGGCUCUGUGUGGGGCUUAGGGGCAGCUCUGAGGUUCUUCCCAGCCCUGGAUCUCCCCAGAUCCACCUGAAUCCUCCUGGAUCUCCCGGGAUCCACCAGGGUCUCCCCAGAUCCACCUGGACCCGGCUCUGCUGCGCUGAGGCUGUGGCAGAGGGCUGACGGAUGGGCCCACAUUCCUGACCUGGGCCAUCAGUCCCCGUCUUCAUGUUUCCUGAGGGGGAAUCCCAGAGCCCCUCAGGAUCUGCAAAGAAAUGAGUCUGAUGGCCAAAUGGCAAAAGAAAGGGCAAGAAAGUUCAUGUGUAAAAGUCAGGAGGAGAAAAUGCUUGGAAGCAAGAUAGGGGGACAUCUACCUGGAGAGGAACAAGGGCCCUACAGGGGCUUCGAUGGGGAAAUGCGUUUCCUUCUUCAAGCUCCUUACACGGUGAACCACGUGAAUAUUCCAGGGAGCUUGGAAGGGGACUCAGAGGCCUCAGGCUGCUGCUCAGGGGUGUUGUGAAACUGGAGGAAUGACUUUUAAAUGACCUCUUCUCCUUUCCGGCCCCCACCCGAAGGCCACGUGAGGCCACUUCCCCUCCUGCGUUCACCCAGGGGCAGGGCUCACCGCCUCUGUGGGCGGGGAAUGGGGGGCGCGCGAAGAGGAGAGAGGGGGCCGGACCGCAGCGAGGGGAGCAGGAGGCCUGGAGGGCCCCCUCCUGCCUCCUCUGCUCCUAGCCCCUCUAGUUCCCUCUUGCUUUAAUACUUUUUUCCCGGUUCUCCUGUCCAAGACCCUCCAAGCAUUUCUGGUCGCCUGGCCAGCCCGCAGAGGGAUGAGCGCCCAGCAACACAAACACACGGGAAGGAUUGACCGGCCCCUGGGUGACUCUCCUCCAGCAGGGACCACUGCCAUCAGUGUGGAGACUUUCCAGAGCUCUCUGAGAAUGCGUUUUCACACAGGAAUUUGAAGAUGGCAACAGCAAAGCACUGAAGCGCGCACAGAUCCUCCUCGGUGUGGGGUCUGUGUGACCACACAGGUCUUGUGCCCAUGAAGCUGGCCUGCCUGUAGGUGCUCCGAGUCCACGAGUCGUCUGUCCUGACCACGAACAUUCCCGCCGCAGCUGCCACCUUGGGCCAUGUCCCUGGAGUCCAUGUCCAGCUUUCCGCAACUGCGCUCUCUGCUCCAAGGCCAGAGUCCUGGGUCUUCUGCCUCCAGCACCAGCAAACUCCUCUGGUCCGUGCCUGCUGAUGAAGAAACCAACACGGUCACAAAGAAUCCGUUCAGGUUCCCACGGGUGGUGAGGAGCAGACGGACUUGAGCCUGGGCACUCUGCCUUUGAGCCGUUACAUCCACAGGGCAAGGACUCGCCUGUGUGUCCCUCUGGGACAGUCUCUCUGUCCUUCUCCCCACCAAAACA